AGCGAACGCUGGCGGCAGGCCUAAUACAUGCAAGUCGAACGGAUCCUUCGGGAUUAGUGGCGGACGGGUGAGUAACACGUGGGAACGUGCCCUUUGGUUCGGAACAACUCAGGGAAACUUGAGCUAAUACCGGAUAAGCCCUUCGGGGAAAGAUUUAUCGCCAUUGGAGCGGCCCGCGUCUGAUUAGCUAGUUGGUGGGGUAAAGGCCUACCAAGGCGACGAUCAGUAGCUGGUCUGAGAGGANGAUCAGCCACACUGGGACUGAGACACGGCCCAGACUCCUACGGGAGGCAGCAGUAGGGAAUCUUGCGCAAUGGGCGAAAGCCUGACGCAGCCAUGCCGCGUGAAUGAUGAAGGUCUUAGGAUUAGUAAAAUUCUUUCAGCGGGGACGAUAAUGACGGUACCCGCAGAAGAAGCCCCGGCUAACUUCGUGCCAGCAGCCGCCGCUGUAAC
rnacentral:rRNA from 1 species